UACAGAGGUCUCAAGCGUUGUUCGGAUUCAUUGGGCGUAAAGGGCGCGUAGGCGGCGCGGUAAGUCACUUGUGAAAUCUCUGAGCUUAACUCAGAACGGCCAAGUGAUACUGCAGUGCUAGAGUGUGGAAGGGGCAAUCGGAAUUCUUGGUGUAGCGGUGAAAUGCGUAGAUAUCAAGAGGAACACCUGAGGUGAAGACGGGUUGCUGGGCCAACACUGACGGCUGAGGCGCGAAAGCCCAGGGGAGCAAACGGGG
rnacentral:rRNA from 1 species